GAUGAACGCUGGCGGCGUGCCUAAUACAUGCAAGUCGAGCGAACAGAUGAGGAGCUUGCUCCUCUGACGUUAGCGGCGGACGGGUGAGUAACACGUGGAUAACCUACCUAUAAGACUGGGAUAACUUCGGGAAACCGGAGCUAAUACCGGAUAAUAUAUUGAACCGCAUGUUUCAUUAUUGAAAGACGGUUUUGCUGUCACUUAUAGAUGGAUCCGCGCCGCAUUAGCUAGUUGGUAAGGUAACGGCUUACCAAGGCAACGAUGCGUAGCCGACCUGAGAGGGUGAUCGGCCACACUGGAACUGAGACACGGUCCAGACUCCUACGGGAGGCAGCAGUAGGGAAUCUUCCGCAAUGGGCGAAAGCCUGACGGAGCAACGCCGCGUGAGUGAUGAAGGUCUUCGGAUCGUAAAACUCUGUUAUUAGGGAAGAACAAAUGUGUAAGUAACUAUGCACGUCUUGACGGUACCUAAUCAGAAAGCCACGGCUAACUACGUG
rnacentral:rRNA from 1 species